UACGAAGGGGGCUAGCGUUGCUCGGAAUCACUGGGCGUAAAGCGCACGUAGGCGGCUUUCUAAGUCAGGGGUGAAAUCCUGGAGCUCAACUCUAGAACUGCCUUUGAUACUGGGAAGCUCGAGUCCGGAAGAGGUGAGUGGAACUCCGAGUGUAGAGGUGAAAUUCGUAGAUAUUCGGAAGAACACCAGUGGCGAAGGCGACUCACUGGUCCGGUACUGACGCUGAGGUGCGAAAGCGUGGGGAGCAAACAGG
rnacentral:rRNA from 1 species